UACGGAGGGUGCAAGCGUUAAUCGGAAUUACUGGGCGUAAAGCGUGCGCAGGCGGUUUUGCAAGACAGAUGUGAAAUCCCCGGGCUUAACCUGGGAACUGCAUUUGUGACUGCAAGGCUAGAGUGUGUCAGAGGGAGGUGGAAUUCCGCGUGUAGCAGUGAAAUGCGUAGAGAUGCGGAGGAACACCGAUGGCGAAGGCAGCCUCCUGGGAUAACACUGACGCUCAUGCACGAAAGCGUGGGGAGCAAACAGG
rnacentral:rRNA from 1 species